UACAUUGUUGAAUGUUUACUGACGUCAUCAACAAAACUCCUGCAACACAGACGUGAAGAAACAGAACGGAACAGAGAACAGUCUGCAACCAACAAUUUGAAAGAGAACAUAAUUUUAUAAGAUGGAAAAUAACUUUACAGCUGAUGCGAACAGCACCGAAGUCGCCAAAACCUUGAAUUCAUGUGUCGUACUUGGAACCUUAUCGCUGACUAUUUAUGUGGUGCUGAAUCUAUAUCUCAUAUACUUCCUAAUAGCAGGAAUUUUGGGCCUGAAGAAGACUUCUCAUGAAUCACCACAUAAUUCGACACUGAUUACGAUAAGUGCAGAUUCCAACACAGAUAUCACCAACAAUUCCACCACUAACAGUACAUCACCAACAAUUUCUACACGAGAAGAAGUACCCUUGACAGAAAUUGCAUUUGUUGUCAUUUCUCUCAUGAUUGUGUCAUUAUUAUUGCUAUAUUUAGGGAUAUACAUUAUAACUUAUUAGCGGAAUAAGACUACUCGUGAAUCGCCACAUAAUUCUACACUGAGUACGAUAAGUGCAAUUAAUUCCACCACUAAUAGUACAUCACCGACACUUUUCACACGAGCAAACGAAUAACUAUCAUCGCCACACCACGUAUCAGCAGAAACAAAUAUAAUCCACGCAGAAGACACCGCAGACAUCUCUUCCUGUGAGGAAGACUGUUAGUCUCAGAGAAAAAUGGCCACAUGUUGGGACACGCAGUAAAAUAGGUCCUAAAUCGUACUCAAGUUCGAUCUACGGGGAACCCGUUCGUCCUAGGGAACAUCGGCGGCACGUUGAGCCUAAGAGGCCUCCAACCCUGUAGUCGUACUUUUAGAAGAUCUUCUCUGAUGGUGAUGUUCACAUCCCCAUGUUGUCAGAUAACAAUGCUACAAUAUCUCAAGCUCAUUUGUUGUCGGCUUCAAGUGGCCAUCAUGUGAUCGAGUAGGGUCCAGUCUUCGUCAGCAACUCACGUGUGUAGUCUCAGUAGUGCACGGGAGAUCUCAUCUAGCUCGAGUCGGGAGUUUCGGAUGUCCUGGAGGAGUGUGCUAAAGACCACUCCAAUCCACGAGAGCGUGAAUCUUACCCGGGGUGAUCUAGAUUGGACCCCUGGUGCACUUGUGGGAAAACUGAAAUGCAGCCCAGAAGAUGGUAUCAGAAUUUGAAGACACAGAAAGACCAUAUUAAGCGAUAAAGCGUAGUCGUUUCUUUAAAACGUUGUGAACAGUUGUUCUACAGAACACUUCGGCACUGAUUUCUUCGGGCUACGCAGAUAACUUGCUCGCACAGCUUCAGUGGUAUCGUCAGACCCUGAUGGUCGUCCUGGACGUGACUGCUUCAGUAGGCUGCCCGUUUGUCUGAGUUGUUGGUCAAAACGGCGAAUGUUAUUUUCGUGUGGUAGUUCUUCAUUAAACACAUGGCGGUAUUCACGCCUAACAAGUGUAACUGACUAAAAAUUAGCAAGCCAAAAAGCACAUUGAACCUUCCUCUGCACCGUAAUCAUGGCGACUAAGAAGCUUCACACGGCUAUUGACCUUGUAACACAGCGCGCAUGCGCUUGCGCUAGAUCCUGUGUACGUAUCGAAACAUUAGAGAGUUUCUCUUUAUUUUAACUUUUAUUUCAUGUUUCUAUCGUGCUUUGUUCCAAAAAUAUGACUGUUUGUUACCCCACCAUUAUUUUACAUGCACACAAAAAUUACCUGACAAGAACGAUACAAAAAUCUAAAGCAGUG